rnacentral:rRNA from 1 species
CCUACGGGUGGCAGCAGUGGGGGAUAUUGCACAAUGGGGGAAACCCUGAUGCAGCGACGCCGCGUGAGUGAAGAAGUAUUUCGGUAUGUAAAGCUCUAUCAGCAGGGAAGAAAAUGACAGUACCUGACCAAGAAGCCCCGGCUAACUACGUGCCAGCAUCCGCGGUAAUACGUAGGGGGCAAGCGUUAUCCGGAUGUACUGGGUGUAAAGGGAGCGUAGACGGUUCUGUAAGUCUGGAGUGAAAGCUCGGGGCCCAACCCCGGGACUGCGUUGGAAACUGGGUAACUGGAGUGCAGGAGGGGCAGGCGGAAUUCCUGGUGUAGCGGUGAAAUGCGUAGAUAUCAGGAGGAACACCGGCGGCGAAGGCGGCCUGCUGGACUGAAACUGACGUUGAGGCUCGAAAGCGUGGGGAGCAAACAGGAUUAGAUACCCGGGUAGUC